AACGAACGCUGGCGGCGUGGAUGAGGCAUGCAAGUCGCACGAUCACUCGCGUGUAGCAAUACUAGUGAGUGGAAGUGGCGCAAGGGUGAGUAAUGCGUGGGCAAUCUGCCUUCUAGAUGGGCAUAACCUGGCGAAAGCCGGACUAAUUCCCAAUGUGGUAGUCGCGCGCAUGCGCGACGAUCUGAAGCCGGGGACCUAAGGCCUGGCGCUAGAAGAUGAGCCCACGUCCUAUCAGCUUGUUGGUGAGGUAACGGCUCACCAAGGCUUACGGGUAGCUGGUCUGAGAGGAUGGUCAGCCACACGUGGACUGAGAC
rnacentral:rRNA from 1 species